rnacentral:rRNA from 1 species
GACGAACGCUGGCGGCGUGCUUAACACAUGCAAGUCGAACGGAAAGGCCCUGCUUUUGUGGGGUGCUCGAGUGGCGAACGGGUGAGUAACACGUGCGUAACCUGCCCUUGACUUUGGGAUAACUUCAGGAAACUGGGGCUAAUACCGGAUAGGAGCUCCUGCUGCAUGGGGGGGGUUGGAAAGUUUCUUCGGUUGGGGAUGGACUCGCGGCUUAUUAGCUUGUGGGUGGGGUAGUGGCUUACCAAGGCUUUGACGGCUAGCUGGCCGGGGAGGGUGACCGGCCAGACUGGGACUGCGACACGGCCCAGACUCCUACGGGAGGGAGCAGUGGGGAAUAUUGGGGGAUGGGCGCAAGUGCGAUACAGCCAUGCCGGGUGAGUGAUGAAGGCCUUAGGGUUGUAAAGCUCUUUUAUCCGGGACGAUAAUGACGGUACCGGAGGAAUAAGCCCCGGCUAACUUCGUG